UUAAAAUUCUACAACUUGAUAAACUAGGUUAAAAUCAACCAGAAUAUAAUUCUACAACCUAGAAGCAGCAAAUUCCUGGCUGUGAGCUCAAGGGUGGCCAAGAGGGUCAGCCAAUCCAAUGGCAGCGCUGGCCAAGAUGAAGCAGUAGCGAGUCCCGAGUCAGCCCAAGCUCGCUGCCAUGAUCUCAAGGCCGACCAGAGUCGCUGGCACGAGCUUAGGGCUGCCCAAGCUCCCUGCCGCAACCUUGGGGUCGGCCAAGCUCGGGGCCAGUUGAGAUCAGGGCCGGUGAAGGUCACCGCCGUGAGCUCGGGACCAGGCAAGUCAUCGCCACGAGGUCGCAGACGACCAAGAUCAUGUCCGUUAUGGUUUAACUGGUAAAAUGGAGAUCGAAGAGGGAAAGAGAAAUCAUAUCAAUAGGUGGGAAGGUCAUAGAAGGAGAGGAUGCUAGAGGAGAAGGAUGUCAGAGAUGGGAAGGCCACUAGAAUAGAGCACACUGGAGGAGACGGUCGCCGGAGGGUUUCACAGACAUGCACGAUGGAGAGGAAGACGAAGGCAUGAUAUUAGCGACGAAACUAAUAGUUCCGUCGCUAAUUAGAGACAUAACUAAGAGGUUCGUCUCUAAUUAGCGACGGAAUUAGUAGUUCCGACUCUACUUAGCGACAUAACUAAUAGUUCCGUUACUAAUAUCACGAUUUAGGUCCAAAUCGUGUUUUCUCACCUUGUUGGCCACAUGUCUAAUUAACGACGGAUGUUUAAUUCCGUCUCUAAUUAGAUUUAUUCCGUCUCUAGUUAGAGACAAAAUUAAAAUGUCCAUCUCCAUUUAGAGACGGAUAAUUUAUUUUCGUUACUAAUUUUUACUGAUUAAUUUAUUUUCUAAUUCUAAACGAUCAAAAUAGAGGCGGAAAUAUAAUUCUGUCUCUAUUUAGAAACAGAACGAUAAUUCCGUCUCUAAGUCCGUCGCUAAAUGGUGGAAUUUUUUUUUUUAGUUGGGGGUUGUGAAUCGGGGUUCAAUUCAAUUUCAAUUUAUAUCUUGAUAAAAAUAAAUCAAAUUAAUGUAAGUAUAAUAUGUGAUUUGAUGUAUUUUAAUCGUAGAUGACAAAUGUGAAACAAACUAUUAUCCAUAUUUUUAUUAUUAGUAGACAACAGUAGUAUGCAGUGUUUUGAGGCGCCUUUUUGCAAAAACUCCAUUUUCAAGCCAACAAAAUCCCGAUCGCUUCUCGUCUCCUCCGACGAGAUUUUCUAGGGUUUUGGUUUCUUUGCGCUCUCUAAAGGGAUGGAGAUCUCGAAACUUUUCAAAGAUAAGAAGAUUUGGGCCGCUUCCCUCAUUGUUGUUUGGGCCGUUGCUCUUCAGGGUCACAUGAUGUGGAUCCAGAGGCAAGACGCUUUCAAGCACAAGUUUGGAGAUCUAAGCAAGAACGAGGAAGGGAAUUAACGUUAUCGUUUUUUUUUUCCUUUUUGCAAGCUAUUUAUUUCUCAGUCUAUAAGCAUGACAUGAAUAUGUUUGGAUAUAUCUGUCUCAAAGAUUGAUUACCAUGAUCAUGCUCAGAAAAGAAGUGGUUUCAGAAUGCGUUUGAGUCCCUGUUCUACAAUUUCAUCUCAUGGCAUACAAUAUUAAGUUGAGGUGUUGAGAUUGAUGAUUGUGCUAACUGAUACGCCACUGGUUUUGAACCAUAUAA